AUGCCGCCGCCGCCGCCCCCUGCGCUGCCGGACGAGCUUCUCGAGGAGAUCUUCCUCCGCCUCCCACCGGACGAGCCCGACCACCUCCUGCGCGCCUCCCUCGCCAGCAAGCUCUGGCUCCGCCUCCUCUCCGGCGCUCGAUUCCGCGGCCGCUACCGGGACUUCCAUGGAGCUCCCCCCAUGCUCGGCUUCCUUUAUUCCUGGCUCUACAACUCCCGCCCGGAGGCGGAAGACCCUGUCCCACACUUUGUCCCCACCACGAAAUUCCGUGCUUGCAUUCCCGACGACGACUGGGGGGACUGCGAAUAUGAUGCGUGGGACUGCCGCCAUGGCCGCGUUCUCCUUGGAGAUACGGGCCAUCAACCCAUGACGCUCGUCGUUUGGGACCCCAUGACGGGCCGUCGGAGGGAGCUGUACGCGCCCAGCCCUGUGGGCUACAGCUACGGGGCAGCUGUGCUCUGCGCCGUGACCGGCUGUGACCACCGCACUUGUCACGCAGGCCCCUUCCAGAUCGUCUUUGUCAGCCUGGACAAUGGUGAAGAUGAUCGUGUUGCACAGGCGUGUGUGUCCCUGCCGGUGACGGGUGACCACAGCAAGCCGUGCUUUCGUUCUCAUUUUGAUAAGUGGACCGAGCCUUGCUCUGCUCUUCAUCUUGACUCCGAUGUGUACAUCUACAGAACACCCCCUGUCUUGGUCCAAGACGCACUUCACUUCAAUCUUUAUAGUUAUGCCAGUGAUGACGUAGUAGGAAUUCUCAAGUACGACUUGAGCUCUAAUAGCUUAUCACUGAUUGAUAUGCCGCUUGCGUGGUCUGUCCAUGCCAAUGCUUCUAUCCUCAUGACGAUGGAGGAUGACAGUUUGGGGUUUGCACAUGUCUACGGGUUAAUCCUCAAUCUGUGGUCAAGGCACAUGGGUUCUGACGGAGUUGCGUCAUGGACUCGGCAUACAGUCAUCGAUAUCAAGGACAUUCUUCCCAUUGGAAAUCCAAAUAAAAGACUUAGGCUGAUUGGAUCUGUGGAAGGCACUGAUAUCAUUUUCGUGACCACAUAUCUUGGCAUAUACGAGAUUAAUCUCAAGUCACUGCAGUGGAAGAAGCUGUGCGGGAGACGGGAAUACUGCACUUUGAUUCCGUACAUGAGUUUCUACCAUCCGCCUGAAAGUAAAGUUACAGAAAGGGAGGAAAGGUGGGACACUCAGAUGCGGCUCAAUGACGACAUAGGGUUGAGUAUGGUCAAGGGAAGGCUGCCCCUUUCAUCAACAGGAAAGAUGACCAGACCACCUGAAGUUGGAGGUGACAUGGGUCUUGUGAUCAUUUCUGUUGGUAUUCAGUAG
rnacentral:rRNA from 1 species